UCCCAAAGAUUUUGUCAGGAUAUUCUAUCGAGUGACAUCUUUUUAUGUCUCUCCUACCUAUAUAGUCUGUCUGUUACAUCUUUGGAAGAGCAAGAUCGUCGCCCGGCCAUCUUCCCGUUUUGGGUUCUUUUUGCCACCGAUGCCUCGUUUUGAGGCGUCACACUAGACGCAUCGUGAAAUCUAUGAGUUGAACUUAGAGCAGUAUUUUCUUCUUGAGAAUUUCUACCAUCUCUUUGUUCGUAGUAAGAAAUCACACAUCC
rfam:Pichia membranifaciens DNA, contig: CON002, strain: KS47-1.